UACGUAGGGGGCUAGCGUUGUCCGGAAUCAUUGGGCGUAAAGCGCGUGUAGGCGGUCCGGUAAGUCCGCUGUGAAAGUCGAGGGCUCAACCCUCGAAUGCCGGUGGGAUACUGUCGGGCUUGAGUACGGGAGAGGCGAGUGGAAUUCCUGGUGUAGCGGUGAAAUGCGCGAUAUCAGGAGGAACACCGGUGGCGAAGGCGGGUCUCUGGGCCGAUACUGACGCUGAGACACGAAAGCGUGGGUAGCAAACAGG
rnacentral:rRNA from 1 species